AUGGAGUUCGAUCGAAAUUUUGACACUAGCGAUGGAUGGUCAUCGCAUGAUAUUUCACAAGAGAGAAAGAAUCAAAGUUUCCAAUCUCUCGGUGACAAAUUACCGCUUCCAGUGACUCUUGCAUCUUUGAGCACAAAAUUGGAAGAUACAGACGAUGAUUCAUAUCAAAUUGGAGAAUAUAGUUUUCGAACAAUUCACACAGUUGGCGUAAUCUUGGAAAAAUCGUACGAGGAUGGGAAGACAACAUAUACACUUCAUGAUCCUGAAGAUACUGCCAAGAUAUUUCACGCAGUUCAAUUCGGAAAUUACAACGAUGGUGGCUCCAAGUUCGUCUCUCCGGGUUUAGAGGAAGACACGCGAGUCCGUCUGAUGGGAAAAUUGAAGAAUGUCGCAGGAAAUAAAAUGAUUCUUAUAUACUACCUUCAAAAGUUGGCUGACAACAAGGAGUAUGAAAUUUUCAAGUUGGAGACACAAGCUUCUUAUUUAUUCUUCAAAAAGAAUUUGAUCGAGCGAAUGCGAACUUCUAAAGCUUAUAAAUGGGAAGGAAUGCUGGCUCCGCCGUUGUCACGACAAAAUCAUAAAAUUGACGCACAGGCUAUUUUGAGCCCAGUUAUCACUAGACAAGUGAAACCGACCACGAAAACACAGUCCGAAUCAAUUUCACCAAAAACUUCUUCGGCAUUGAAAGCGAAGGUUGGCGCAGUUAUCCGAUCAGAAGCCGCCAGUAAGGGAUACGGCGACGAAGAAGGCGUACCAUUCGAAAGAAUCUUGGCUCGCAUAAAAGAUAUUCCAGAGUCUCGUCUUCGAGACAUUCUGACAGAAAUGGGAGACAGUGGAAUGAUUUACUCGGCCAGAGACAAUGAGUUCAUGUCGCUUAAUUGAUUCGGUCAAAUAUUUAGCUUUACUGAUGUUAUUCUGUACAAAAUAUACAAGUACAAAGUGCAUGACGCAUGCUUUUUAUAUUUUCAUAAAAUCAUAGUUUUGUUUAACUGACUUUUUCAGGAUGGUGGCUCCAAGUUCGUCUCUCCGGGUUUAGAGGAAGACACGCGAGUCCGUCUGAUGGGAAAAUUGAAGAAUGUCGCAGGAAAUAAAAUGAUUCUUAUAUACUACCUUCAAAAGUUGGCUGACAACAAGGAGUAUGAAAUUUUCAAGUUGGAGACACAAGCUUCUUAUUUAUUCUUCAAAAAGAAUUUGAUCGAGCGAAUGCGAACUUCUAAAGCUUAUAAAUGGGAAGGAAUGCUGGCUCCGCCGUUGUCACGACAAAAUCAUAAAAUUGACGCACAGGCUAUUUUGAGCCCAGUUAUCACUAGACAAGUGAAACCGACCACGAAAACACAGUCCGAAUCAAUUUCACCAAAAACUUCUUCGGCAUUGAAAGCGAAGGUUGGCGCAGUUAUCCGAUCAGAAGCCGCCAGUAAGGGAUACGGCGACGAAGAAGGCGUACCAUUCGAAAGAAUCUUGGCUCGCAUAAAAGAUAUUCCAGAGUCUCGUCUUCGAGACAUUCUGACAGAAAUGGGAGACAGUGGAAUGAUUUACUCGGCCAGAGACAAUGAGUUCAUGUCGCUUAAUUGA
rnacentral:misc_RNA from 1 species